GGAUAACCUACCCUUAGGACCGGGAUAACCCUGGGAAACUGGGGCUAAUACUGGAUAGGCAAUUAUUCCUGCAAUGGUUUUUUGUUUAAAUGUUUUUUCGCCUAAGGAUGGGUCUGCGGCCGAUUAGGUAGUUGGUUAGGUAAUGGCUUACCAAGCCGUUGAUCGGUACGGGUUGUGAGAGCAAGAGCCCGGAGAUGGAACCUGAGACAAGGUUCCAGGCCCUACGGGGUGCAGCAGGCGCGAAACCUCCGCAAUGUGAGAAAUCGCGACGGGGGGAUCCCAAGUGCCAUUCUUAACGGGAUGGCUUUUCAUUAGUGUAAAGAGCUUUUGGAAUAAGAGCUGGGCAAGACCGGUGCCAGCCGCCGCGGUAACACCGGCAGCUCUAGUGGUAACAAUUUUUAUUGGGCCUAAAGCGUCCGUAGCCGGUUUAAUAAGUCUCUGGUGAAAUCCUGUAGCUUAACUGUGGGAAUUGCUGGAGAUACUAUUAGACUUGAGACCGGGAGAGGUUAGAGGUACUCCCAGGGUAGAGGUGAAAUUCUGUAAUCCUGGGAGGACCGCCUGUUGCGAAGGCGUCUAACUGGAACGGUUCUGACGGUGAGGGACGAAAGUUAGGGGCGC
rnacentral:rRNA from 1 species